CUACGGGCGGCUCCAGUGGGGAAUAUUGCACAAUGGGCGCAAGCCUGAUGCAGCCAUGCCGCGUGUAUGAAGAAGGCCUUCGGGUUGUAAAGUACUUUCAGUGGGGAGGAAGGGAGGAAAGUUAAUACCUUUGCGCAUUGACGUUACCCGCAGAAGAAGCACCGGCUAACUCCGUGCCAGCAGCCGCGGUAAUACGGAGGGUGCAAGCGUUAAUCGGAAUUACUGGGCGUAAAGGGCACGCAGGCGGUUUGUUAAGUCGGAUGUGAAAUCCCCGGGCUCAACCUGGGAACGGCAUCUGAUACUGGCAGGCUUGAGUGUGGUAGAGGGUGGUAGAAUUCCAGGUGUAGCGGUGAAAUGCGUAGAGAUCUGGAGGAAUACCGGUGGCGAAGGCGGCCCCCUGGGCGAAGACUGACGCUCAGGUGCGAAAGCGUGGGGAGCAAACAGGAUUAGAUACCCCCGUAGUC
rnacentral:rRNA from 1 species